rnacentral:rRNA from 1 species
CCUACGGGAGGCAGCAGUGGGGGAUAUUGCACAAUGGAGGAAACCCUGAUGCAGCGACGCCGCGUGAGGGAAGAAGUAUUUCGGUAUGUAAAGCUCUAUCAGCAGGGAAGAAAAUGACAGUACCUGACCACGAAGCCCCGGCUAACUACGUGCCAGCAGCCGCGGUAAUACGUAGGGGGCAAGCGUUAUCCGGAUUUACUGGGUGUAAAGGGAGCGUAGACGGUUAUGUAAGUCAGGAGUGAAAGCCCGGGGCCCAACCCCGGGACUGCUUUGGAAACUGUGUAACUGGAGUACAGGAGGGGAAGGCGGAAUUCCUGGUGUAGCGGUGAAAUGCGUAGAUAUCAGGAGGAACACCGGCGGCGAAGGCG